GAUGAAGAACGCAGCAAAAUGGGAUAAGUAAUGUGAAUUGCAGAAUUCAGUGAAUCAUCGAAUCUUUGAACGCGCAUUGCGCCCGCUGGUAUUCCGGCGGGCAUGCCUGUUCGAGCGUCAUUUCAACCCUCAAGCCCCCGGGUUUGGUGUUGGGGAUCGGCUCUGCCCUUCUGGGCGGUGCCGCCCCCGAAAUACAUUGGCGGUCUCGCUGCAGCCUCCAUUGCGUAGUAGCUAACACCUCGCAACUGGAACGCGGCGCGGCCAUGCCGUAAAACCCCAACUUCUGAAUGUUGACCUCGGAUCAGGCAGGAAUACCCGCUGAACUUAAGCAUAUCAAUAAGCGGAGGA
rnacentral:misc_RNA from 1 species